CCUCUCUCUCUCUCUCUCUCUCUCUAUCUCCUCUCCCUCUCUCUCUCCUUGAAUCCAAAAACGCUUCUUCUUCCUUCCCUGCUUUUCUUUUUUUUUUUGUUUCUCUCUCUAUUUUUCCCAUUUCUUUCUCCAUACCCAGCCUCCGACCACCUUAUUCAGCCCACGGCCGCCCAGAUCCGCCCACCUAAUAGUCUACAGCCGAGAUUCGUCAAUCUCCGGCCUCCGACCACCGGAUUCAGCCACCGCCGCGCAGAUCCGCCCACCAUUUACUUUGUUUUGACAAAAACCGGGGUCAUCAACCGGUUCGCCGGUUUCCGGGUUUUGCCCGGUUGAACCGGGUUUCGGUCAUUUGACCCCGGUUUUUGAUUUUUCCGGUUUUGGAGCUCAAACCGGACCGCCUUGUCGCCGGGUCGCGGUCGAACCGGUCCGACCGGCCGGUCCGGUCCGGUUCUUACAACAUUGGCAACUACCAUGACGAUUUUCUCCAUCAACAGCCUUAUGUAGAGCCAGGUGAUACGCACUCCGAACUGAAAAUCUCCCAUUCCUUUAGUUAAAAAGGGUAAAUAACAUUUAACACCCUUUAGUUACGAGUUUUUACAUACGAUCUCCUUAUGCUCGUAAUAUCAGCAUAUAACCCCCUAUUUUUUUCUAAAAUACAUUGAACCUUCUUGCCUAGUUUACAAAAAUAUAUUUCUAAAACCUCAAAGAUUGAAUUUUGUGUUCAAAUCUCCAAAACCCAUCACUCAUUUCUCUCUAAAAAUUGAAUCUUUGAGCUUAAUUUUCUCUUGUUUGCUAUUUUGUUGGGCUGAAAUUUCUUGAAACCCUCUUCUCAUUUUCUCCAAGAACGCAUCUUUUUACAUUUUUCAACCCUUUUCUGCAAAUUCAUGUGUAAAAAUAGAGAUUCUUGAGGGUUUGGUCAAGAUUAUUUGGAAGCUGUAAAGAAAUAAAAAAAAGAAAAAAAAAAUGUCUGAAGCUGCAAAAGUUCGUUUAGUUCGUUGCCCAAAGUGUGAGAUGUUAUCACGAGAAGUACUCACUGAAUAUUCUGUUUAUGAGUGUCGUAAUUGUGGUGCUGUCUUUAGAGGUACAUUUUCUUCCUUUUCCUCUGUUUAUUUUAUUGCUAUUUUGUUUUAAGGAAAUUGUAAAUUUCGGCUAGCAUUUUGUUGUUGAUUGGAGUAGUUGUUUAUUGGAUUUUGAUUUGCAUUUUGUAAUAUCAUGUAUUCUGCAAAAUGUCUGAAAUUUUGGUUGAUUUUGCUUUUCUCUGUUAUAUAUUUGUGUUGCCUUUCUUUCUUGCUGAAUGGUUGACUUUAUAUAACAGCCAAGAACAAAGGCGUUGACUCCGGUACAUUCUCGGUCAACUCCGAAGAUGAGAGAAUCGGAGCUUCCGUAGAGAAGCUCUCCGAAAGAUUCGAUAAAUCAACAAACGUAUCCGAUAGAAGAACACCGCCACCGGUGGACCCCCCCACAGCCAUCACCAAUGGCUACGAAAGCGAUGUUCAGUCAAACGUUAGUUCAUCGAGCCGAAGUACAUAAUUUAUGCAUCUCCCAUACUUAUUGAUCAUUAAAGUGUCAAUGAAAUUGGUACAACUCAAUUUAUCGCAAAAUAUAGUACGCUUUGUUCAUCAAGUAAGUACAAUGAAUAAACAUGUGAAUUACAAGUUAUUCGUGAAUAUAAUACGCUUUGAUUAUGUAUAUGUAUGCCAUUCAUAUAGUAUUAUAUAGUAUUGUUGCAAUCUAUAUAUUAUCGUGGGGUCAAUGCAUCCAUAUAAUUGUAUUUUAAGACACAAUUCUUCAUUUUAAGACUAUUAAAAAAGAAUAGAGACAAUGUGGG
rnacentral:lncRNA from 1 species